AGGGCGGUCACCUGGAAGUGGGUCACCAGGAAGGGGGUCAGCAACAGGGGGGGUUAGUACCAGGUGGAGGGUCAGCAGGACAGGGGUCAGAACCAGGGGGAGAGUACACUGGGAAGGCAUUCAGCUCAUGCCUUGUGGCACACCAAAGCUCCCUGGCUUCUUGGUGUCUCUGGUUGGGACCCUACCAUGUUCUGCAAAAAGUACUGAAGCGCACAACUUGGUGUAUUUUGCUAUGCAGGCCUUCAGUUCACAGUACUCAACACAUGGCGGCUCCCAGUUAUCUGGAUGUCACUGUAUGGGGCCCAAGCAGGACCUGAAUGAUCUACGUAUUUGGAAAUUGCUUUUUCACUCAUGUCAUGGUGUCUUCUGAUGAAUGAAUGUUGUGAAUUGUAAUUAGAUUACUAUGCUACAUUAGUCUGUUGAUAUUUUAAUUAGUGUUAUCUUGUAUCUUGAUUAAAAGUCCUUCCCGACUUCCAGAUCAUGAAAAUAUACUCCUAUAUUACCUUCUAGCGGUUUUAUAGAUUGCCUAAAUAUUUUUAUGUAGUUAUUACUGUUCUGAUAAAGCUCUCUGGACACCUGAGCCAAACUCUAAGGCAAGAGUUAUACUGAGGGAAAAAUAUUUUUUUCAAAUCAAAGCAUUAAACCUUUAUUAUAUAUCAAAUUUAUGGAAAUGUCUAUUUUGCUCUAUGUUAAUGCUACACUAUUUUAUUAAUUGUAAUUAUCUGCAUUAUUGAUUUUUUCAAGUAUUCAGAAUUCAGUUCAUUAAAGUCUCAAAAUGAUUAAAAUUAUUUUGUUAGUGUCUUAUUCGGACUUGGAUUAGUGCUAAAUUGAAUUGAUAAAUUAAUUUGUAGAAAUAAGCAUAAUUUGAAUAGGACUAUUUCUUUGGGGAAUGUGAUAUGUUUCUACAUUUACUCAAAUUCACUUUUGUAUGUCCCUUAGUAAUAUACUUUCCAAGACAUUUUUCAUUCUUUAUAUCUAGUUAAUUGAGUGUUUAUGUUACUGUAAUUGACUUUUUUCUAUUAUGUCUUUGAGUUGGUAAUUCCAAGUAUGUAUGUAUAAAUGUAAUGUUUAUUGUAUAAUUAUUUUAUUACAAGCCAGUUUAAUGAAUUUGGUUUUUGAAUGUUUUGUUUUGUUUUUUUUCUUUUUCAGGCAGGGUUUCACUAUGCAAUUCAGGCUGGCCUUGAACUUACUUUGUAGCUAGACUUGAACUUGCAGGGAUCCUCCUGCCUCUUGCCUCAGCCUCUGGAGUACUGGGAUAGGCAUGCACCACCAUGUUGAGCUUGGCUCUUAGUUUGAAUGAAACUACUUAGGCAGCAAAUCAUCUAGCUUCAGUUAAAUGAUUAUCUAAUUUAAUUCUUUUCCAAUAUAAGUAAAUUUUCUUUAUGUAUGUAUCUUAUUUGUAUAAAAUUACCAAAACAAUAUCAAGUAAUAGCAACGAAGCACCAAAAUUAGAAUGUACCUGAAAUUUUUAAAAGUUAAUAAUUCUGUAUUGAGAUGAUAGCUCAAUGGUGGAGUGCUUGCCUAGCAAGGUCCUGGGUUCAAUCCCAGCCAACAAUAAUAAUAACUCUGGUGCUUCCUAAAUUGAAUAUGAUUUUGGAUGUUUGAGAUAUUUUUAUGUUACAUUUCUGUUUUCUUUAUUUUGAAAACCAACUGUGGGAAUUGGAUACAAUGUUAUGGUGAGAUUGGCACUUACCAUAUUGUAUUACUUUAAUAUGAAACUCCAAUCUUUUUUAAUUAUUUAGGUUUUUAUGUUCAUAUUUGUUACUUAAACUGGUUUGUAGUUUUAAGUAGUUUUUCACUUAAAAAUAAGAUUUCUUGUUUUGAUUUAUAGGCUGGAGGAGUUUUUAUCCUUUUUCAAACAUUAAUCAUUGUUAAAAGAAAAACGAAAAAACAGCCUUCUAAGCAAUCCAAGUAAACUAAAUCUCUCCUGAGGAAAGUCGCAUUUUAUUUAUUUAUUUAUUUAUUUAUUUAUUUAUUUAUUUAUUUUGUCUUUUUUGAGGCAGGGGUUUCAGUAUAUGGUGCAGGCUGGACUUGAACUCACCUUGUAGCCCAGGCUGGCCUUGAACUCACAGCAAACCUUCUACCUCAGCCUCCCGAGUACUGGGAUUGCAGGCGUAUGCCACUAUGCCCAGUGAAAUGUAUAUUUUCAUAUAGCUAGUGGCACAUGAACACAUUUUAAAGACUGACAAAAAGUAGAGGACAUAAAUAUAAUGAGUUAAUGGCAUUCAUAUUUAAAAGAUUUCUAGAAAUUAAUAAAAUCUAAUAGAAAUAUGAAUUUAAAGCAAAACAUAAAAUCAUUAGCAAAAACAUGAAAAUUUGUUAACCUUUACUGUUUGUGAGUAUAUUAGUUGGUUUUCUGAUACCAGGAAAAAAACAAAUCUGAGACUAGGAAGUACAUGAAAUAAAGGAGAUUUUAGCUCACAGGUUUGGAAGCUGAAAGACCAUGAUGUGGUGUCCAUUAUUUAGCCUCCAGCAAGGGCUCCUUUGGCUUCCUCACAGCAUAGGAGAAAAUCAGAAAAAGAAAUGAGCACAUAAAAAAAAGAACAAAGAAAAAAACUAGGCACGUGAUGUGAUAACAGCCUUGUCUCCCAAGAGCUAACUCAUUUUGUGAGAGGAGCAUUAAUCCCUUCAGAGACAGCACGUACACGACCUAAUUACUUUGCAUAUGAAUCUCUGGAGAACACAGAAAAAAUAGCAUUGAGGAAAAUGCACAUUACCACAAUAAUGGAAUUCUGUUUUCACCCAAUACAUUGCCAAAUUUAAAAGAUUCAUAUAAUUAAAUGUUCCUGAGCAUGUGGAAACUGAUACACCUUGAUAAGUAAUAAUUUCCUAUUAAAUAAUUAAUAUUUACUUAACAUUUUCUUUUUUUUUUUUUUUAUCGGUACCAGGGAUUGAACUCAUGACCGCCUGCUUGCAAGGCAGGUGCUUAUGCCACUAAGUUAAAUCCCCAGCCCCAAUAGUUAAUAUUUAAUAAUUAACUAUUAAAGUUAAAAAUGUUUAUCUUUUUCUCCAGAAUCUAUCCAGAGAUAGUAGCAAAAGAUACAAAUUAUAUAAAUGCAAUGAUACCCCUGAAACAUUUUUUUGUUUUGCUUUUGCUAUAGCAAUAGAUUGAAACAGUAAAUGAAUAUUAGUUGGAGAAUGAUUGAAUAAAUCAUGAACCACAAAAACUGAACAACCUUUAAAAUAAAAGAAGUCAAUCUUACAUUCUGACUACAGAUACUUCUAGAAAAUAGUUAUGCAUGAAAGAAAAUUGUAGACAAAUAUGUCACGCUACUAGGUUUUUAAAUGGGUAAUACAUACAUAAUUAUGUAUAAACUCUGGAAAAUAGGAUGUUUAUAUCCUUAACGGCAAUUUGCACUGAUAAAUGAGGCAGAGGAACAGAAACCAGGAGAAAUUCAUUCUCAGUGAAAAAUUCAUUUAGUAUGCUGUAUGUAAUAUUUUAUAUUACUUCAAAAUGCUACAAGGCUUUUGAAUGAUCUUUACUUUGGCAGAAGACUGAAUGCAGGUGUUAAGAAGCUCAUCAAAAGCCUAUUAUUUUUGGAGCCUUAGUCUCAUAUCUAUACAAUGAAACUAAAAUUCUUUCCAAAAGACGUUUGACUCUUUUUAUAAUUAAAUCCUCCUUAAGUAAAUGAAAACCUACUACAUUUUCACAAUAGUGAACUUUUACAUUUCAAGGCAAAUGAAGAAUUAUAAACCUUUUCAGCAAUGGCAUCACUGGAAAAGUAUGAGUAAUCCAUGUACCCAUAUAGGCAGCUUCCAGUACAGAAACAGCAUGUGAUUAUUAAUUGGGAUACGUCAUCUUGACUUAAGUAAGAACCUCCUAGUGGAUUAGUAAAGCUCUGGGUAUGUCUGUGGGUGGUUGACAGGCAGGCCAUGAACUGAAGCUUAUAACCUGAACAGAAUAAAAAGAAAAAGAAGGAAAUCGUCCAUUUUCUUUGGGGAAGUGCUGUUCUUUACCACUGCCUUUGGACACUGGUUUCCAGUUACUGCUGGCUUCUAACACAGAUUCAAGUCUUCUAACAGACUCACACUGGUGACUGCCGCAAGUUUUGAGGCAUUUGACCUUGACUGCUACUGGAACUCUGACUCUCCACUCUGCAGAUAGCCAGUAUGAAUUCUUUGGUCUCUGAUCUGGCAGAGCCAUUAGGAUUCUUCAGAUUCUGAUGCUGUAAGCCUACCUCUUAAAUAUCUUGUAUGAUCAUACAUAUGUUUUAUAUCAAAUCUGUUCCUCUAGAGAACAUUAAUAUACCAAGUGAUUAAAAAGUCAUUUGCAAGUUGCUACUAAACUUGGUGGUGAUUAGGAAAUAGGAGAACAAUUUGCUUCUAUUUGAAAAAGCUGAGGAAAUAUUACUAACUUUUUUAUAUAAUCUCUGAAUUUGCUUGAAACAUAUAACAUGUUUUCCCAUAGCAACACUGUUAAACAUGUCUGUAAAUUCUGAAACCAAACUGGAAAAGUUUGUUCAACUCAAGCGUGACUAAGCUAUAGUACUAAUAGUAUAUUUGUUAAAUAUAAAUAUUGAAUAAGAUUGAGUAAAUGGAUACAUCAAUAGAAAGGGACAGAAAGUUCACUGGAUUGUGUGCUCUGGGAGGAGAGAACUGGUCUUAUUCAUGGUUGUAUCCCCAACACCCUGCCAAAUGGCUAGUUCUCGGUAAACGUUGAAUGAAUUAUUAAAGAGCUAUCCUCAUUGGGUAUGGAAAUAGACUUCUACAAUAAUUUAUGCAUGUUUUAACCCACUAUGAAAGCACAACCCUUUCAAAAAGAUACAAUUAUUUUGUAAAGUAAAAGAUGUAUAAAGAAUAUACUGAUAGGAGAAAGGAUAGGUAGCUAAUCCAAGGAAAUUCCAAAGACAAGGUAGAAACAGAGUCACUCAGGAGUGUGAAAUGAACUUAAUAGAUGCAAAAUGGUUGAACUCCAUAGGGAAAUAAUCAAUUGUGUCUUCACCAGCAAAAGUAAUUGGCAUUACUAGGUGUUUACUUCAACUAAAUAAAGUAGUAAAAUAGCUCAAAAGCAACAAAAGGAACUAAUAAUAAGGUACAGUGAUUUAAACAACACCUAGCAUUUCAUGGAAAAACAAUACUUUUUUUGUAAUCUCAAAGUUUUUUAUAAUUUUUCCUAAUUUCCUGUCCUUGUGAUGAUAACUUCAAAGGUUGUGCUUCUUUAAGCACAAAAAGGCUAGCUGUAUAACUUUCUUUCUGAUUAUUUACAUUAGUGAAGCAAGGGCAUGAAUCAAAUUGCAGCCUGUUUACUCAAAGUCUGGUUUUUGUAUCUCCUCAAAGCUAAGAAUAGGCUUUGCAUUUUAAUAGUUAAAAACAUGAAAAGUUGAAUAAUUUUCUUGCUUUUUUUUUUUUUUUAUCGAUACCCGGGAUUGAACUCACGAUCGCCUGCUUGCAAGGCAGGUGCUUAUGCCGCUGAGCUAAAUCCCCAGCCCCAAGUUGAAUAAUUUUCAACACAUGAAAAUAAUAUGAAGUUCACACUUCAGUCUUAUUGAAUGUUUAUUAGGCACUGCCACAUUUAUUUAUUUACGUAGUUUGUGGCUGCUUCCUUUCUACAAUGGAAAAGUCACAGAGAUAGUAUGGUUUACAAAACAAGGCCACGACUAGAGUGAAACUCUUAUAAACCUAUCAUAAAUUUAAAAAGUUAUAAGUCAAAAGUGCAUUUAAUACACCUAACCUACUGAAUAUCGUAGCUUACCCAAUCUGUCUUCCUUAAACAUGUGUAGAGCACAUGCACAACCUACAAUGGGACAAAAUAAUUUAACACAAUGCCUAUUUUAUAAUAAAGUCUUAGAUGGCUCAUAUAACCUAUUGAUCAAAAUUGAAAGCACAGAUUUUACUAAAUGUGUGUUGUAUUCACAAGUGGAAAAAAUCAUAAAUGAAUCAUCACACACGGGACCAUCUGUAUAUUUUAAAACCAUAAGAAGAUAAGAAGAAAAUCAGUUAAACAGACAAGAUCAGUAUUACUGAUUAUUUUCCUUGAUAGAGAUAGAGCUCAGAACAUGCUAACCUAAAAUGUAGCCCCUUAGAAUACUGUAUAUUUUAAUCUGAAGGAAUUUGGGAAAAAGGCAGAAACAGCAGCUCACUCCAAUCUUCUCCAGACCCUUUGUCCCAAAAGUAGAUCAUAAGACUUUGUACAAGAAGUGCCCUUUGUAUGUAGAAGAAACAGGCAUCCUCAACUUGAAAGGCACACACCAAGAAUCUGAACAAAAACACUUUGCUAGACUUCCUCUAAUUUAUUGUCAAUAGGUCGGUCAUCGUCUUUGUCCUACCCUGUCUCUAUGAAUGUCCACUAUUCAUCAAACCUGUUAUCAUAAAACAACUCAAGAAUUACUGUCUUUGAGCCUUUAUUAUGAUACCUUCCCUGUGAAUACAUUUACUGCUUUUCUCUUGUUAAUCAAAAAAAACAUACUAAAUAAAUUUAAUGUUUUUCUCUUGUUAAUCUGUCAUUCUUUAUAGGGCCUCAGCCAUGAACCUAGAAAGAGUAAAAGGAAAAAUAUUUUUCCUCCUCUACAGCCUAAGGCUCAUAGUUGGCUUGGCAUGAAACAACUGUAUCUCGUGCGCUUCACUUUGGUCCUGGCCCUGUUGCAAAGCUUAAAAUAUUAGCUUCUUUCAGAAAAGUUUAGGAAGAGAGAUAAAAAAAACCAUAUAUGCUUCCUUGGCUUUGUUUUUCAAACUUGAGCACUAAGUGGUAGCAUCAUAAAAUAAACGUCUGUUUGGUUCUAUCUCAAAACCUCUAUCCUUGUAUGGAAUUUCUCAUUUAUAAUGUGUAUUGUUUUCCUUAAACUAUUGAUUUGUUUUUCUAUAGCUUCUUGGAAUUCAUUGGUAUUUUUUGUUUGUUUGUUUGUGCAGGGUCUUCUUAUGUGAUCCAGACUGUCCUUGAGCUAUGUACAUCAGAUUGAACUCAUGACAAUCCUGCUUCAGCCUCCCAAUUGCUGGAAUUAUAGGCAUGUUCCACCAGCCCCAGUUAUCAUUGUCCUUGUACAGAAGUCCACACUCUCCAUGGUGCCAAUGGUGGUACUGCUCAGCCCCGAUCUCGGGGCUCAGGUGAAUGUGGGCCCAUUCAGAAAGGAUACUUGCUCUGGGAUGGGAGAUCCUGAGGCACAGGUUGAGCUCUGUGAGUCAGGUUUUGUGAGACCCAGAGCAGCUCACAGCUCCAUGACCAACGAGGGGCAGAAACAUGGCAUUGAGAGAAAACAUGAUGAUGAUUCUGUGCUCCGGGAGAGGCUUCACACAGAGGAGCAGAACACGGCUGCCAAGUUGCCUCUGACUGAGCAGCUGAGAUUGUCUAUGCUCCUCAUUCAGAAGCAAAAACAAGAUCUCUUGGAAUUAGCUCAAAAGCUGAAUGAAAGAAAAAACGUGUCCCUGCUCCUUAAGGAGCGUCUGGAGGUCCUCCUCAGAAGAGAUCACCCUGAGACCAGCCAAGGCUGUUGCCACCACCAGGGUCAGCCCAAGGGCUGCAGGCUGGCUGAGCAGCUGGGCCACAACCUCAACCCAGAUAUUCCAGAAAAGGAGGAGGAUGUUAAAGAGGACUCAUCUGUGGCCCACAGCAGUGAGAGCACAGACAGCCAGCGAGAUGAGGAGCAGGCAGAGGAACUCCAGGCCUCCCAGGGUGAGGAGCACAAGACAUUCCCUGGUGACUGUGAGGCUGGUGACACCCAGGAGCCUCCCUGUGCCACUGCAGCCCAGGUGGAUGAGGCUGAGGCCCCUUCUCCACAGGCCCUGGAAAAUGAGAAUCACCUGGCAGAUGAGGAUUCCCUAGAACCCAAGAGCACCAGGUUGAUCACUGAAAAUAUCGCAUGUUUCAAGCCAAUAGAGAUAUUCCCGAAAUGGAGGUCCAUCCUGUACUACAUGAGAAAGAGUCUUAGAGAACUGUUGACUGAGGAUGGAGCUACGAGAUAUGAGGCACAAAGCCACCAGGAAAAGUACUCAGAGUGGCACAGGCUGGCCAGGAGCCUCGCCCUGCAGCUCAGCCCAGCAUUGAGCUUUGUGAAGAAGAUGACCUGUCAGCAUCAAUGGAGGAGCUGUCCUUCCUGGAUUCUCAGCAGCCGUUUCCACCAUCACCAGAAGAAGAUCAGCUGAAUUCCUCUGUCCCUGCGAUUGAGCCUCAAGCAAGAUCUCUGCCUGAUGAAACCAACUCGGACAUCAUCUCGGAAACACAGAAGAUUGAGGCAACCCAGGUGCUCAGAGCCAAAUUCGGAGGCCUCCGUUGGAUUGAGGAACCCACCUGAGAUGGAGCACGCUGUUCCCCCAGAGUCAGAAGAUGCCACACACGGGCGUCCAUCUCUCAGUGUCCCUGAGCCUGCUGCUGCUCUGAGGCAGACAAUGAUCCUAGGUUCCAGCUGGGGAACAUGGGGCGUAGAUUCC